rnacentral:rRNA from 1 species
UCACGCAAAGGAGCUUAACUAAGCUCAACACAAAAACCAAAUUCUCAACGAUGGAUAUCUUGGUUCCCAUACCGAUGAAGAACGCAGCGAAGUGCGAUAAGCAAUGCGAAUUGCAGAACCGUGAGUCAUCAGAUUUUUGAACGCAUCUGGCGCUGGCUGGGUCUCCAGCCAGCAUGCUUGUUUCAGUGUCUUGUUUUCUCCUCACCCAAAUCUUAAUGCGAGAGAUACCCUUCUCUUGUCAAACAUGAAAGCACUCUGUGCUCUGCGGGCGGCUUCCUCAGCUUGCUGAGGGUCGCACUCAAUGCAGCUGUCACAUUGUUACAAUGUGAACUCGUUGAGAGUAGAGGCAGUCGCAGCGAUUGCUGCCAGUGCUUAGUCACCUAAACUUUCUUUGCAUCUGAAAUCAAGCAGGACCACCCGCUGAACUUAAGCAUAUCAAUAAGCGGAGGAA